AAUGAACGCUGGCGGCGCGCCUAAUACAUGCAAGUCGAGCGAGAAGACGUAGCAAUACGUUUGUAAAGCGGCGAACGGGUGAGGAAUACAUGGGUAACCUACCCUCGAGUGGGGAAUAACUAGCCGAAAGGUUAGCUAAUACCGCGUACGCUUCUUGGACUUCGGUUCAGGGAGGAAAGCGAUGCCGAGGGUAUCGCGCUCUUGGAUGGGCUCAUGUCCUAUCAGCUUGNGGUGAGGUAACGGCUCACCAAGGCUUCGACGGGUAGCUGGUCUGAGAGGACGAUCAGCCACACUGGCACUGCGACACGGGCCAGACUCCUACGGGAGGCAGCAGUAAGGAAUAUUGCGCAAUGGGCGAAAGCCUGACGCAGCGACGCCGCGUGGGGGAUGAAGGUCUUCGGAUUGUAAA
rnacentral:rRNA from 1 species